ensembl:lncRNA
AGCCGCCGCUGCACGGGCUCGUAUCGCCAAAGCAGUGGUGUCUCCCUUAGGCUGAAGGCCCAGGAUGGGGUGGCUGAAGAAUGAAAACAAAUGAAAAAUAACGCUGAAAUCCUCAUCCUACCUUGAAACGGACUGGGAAGGGAUGAAGAAUCCUUGUCCAUUUGCCUCUCCCAAAUGCAGCAUCGUGGGCUCUGUCUCCCAAACAGCUUUUUGGAAAUCGUCUCUCCAGGCGUAUGGAAUCAAUGGAAGGAGGGAGUCCCAGCCCCAAGAGGCCCUGACCGAGCACCGGGCUGCCCUGUGGACGUGACGCUUCUGCCAAUCCCAGGGUCAGCUUUCAGCCACCACCUGCUGGGCUGUUCACAAAGCACCUCUCCUCCGCAGAUAUGGGUCGCCUGCUGUGACUCUCACCCCUCUGCACACUCAGGAACACUAACGUGUCACCACGAGAAAGAAACACAGCUGUACAGCACCGGCGGAGGUGGGGUGAGGCAGAGAACAGGCAGGGGAGCCCGGACUCCUCCGGGCCCUCCUGGAUUAACGGAGCCCCAUGGGGCCACGUGAACGAGCAGAUGCAAGGCUGCUGUGGGCCACGUGCAUUUCCCACCCCGAGGGGCUGCAGGGAGUCCUGUGAGAUGGAGAUGGUGCAAGCCUGCUGACCAGCCCAGAUGAUCCUCUAGGGUGGCUUUGCAUCGCCUUUGUGUUGAGCUGGAAAGCCUGGAGGUGGGGACUGGCUCAUAAGCCCACUUGGGCUUCCCUGGGACUCACAUAGUCCUCUUCUGGGCAGUUAAAGUGUAAAUCUAUCUAUCAGAGACGCUUGGGAUGCCCUUAUAUGUGGAAUCUAAAAAGAAAUAUAACAAAUGAACUUACCUGGAAAACAGACUCACAGACUUAGAGAAUGAAUUUAUGGCUGUGGGGGCGGGG